UAGAUACCCUGGUAGUCCACGCCCUAAACGAUGUCUACUAGUUGUCGGGUUUUAAUUAACUUGGCAACGCAGCUAACGCGUGAAGUAGACCGCCUGGGGAGUACGGUCGCAAGAUUAAAACUCAAAGGAAUUGACGGGGACCCGCACAAGCGGUGGAUGAUGUGGAUUAAUUCGAUGCAACGCGAAAAACCUUACCUACCCUUGACAUGUACGGAAGCCACGAGAGAUCGAGGUGUGCUCGAAAGAGAGCCGUAACACAGGUGCUGCAUGGCUGUCGUCAGCUCGUGUCGUGAGAUGUUGGGUUAAGUCCCGCAACGAGCGCAACCCUUGUCAUUAGUUGCUACGAAAGGGCACUCUAAUGAGACUGCCGGUGACAAACCGGAGGAAGGUGGGGAUGACGUCAAGUCCUCAUGGCCCUUAUGGGUAGGGCUUCACACGUCAUACAAUGGUACAUACAGAGGGCCGCCAACCCGCGAGGGGGAGCUAAUCCCAGAAAGUGUAUCGUAGUCCGGAUUGUAGUCUGCAACUCGACUGCAUGAAGUUGGAAUCGCUAGUAAUCGCGGAUCAGCAUGUCGCGGUGAAUACGUUCCCGGGUCUUGUACACACCGCCCGUCACACCAUGGGAGCGGGUUUUACCAGAAGUAGGUAGCUUAACCGUAA
rnacentral:rRNA from 1 species